rnacentral:rRNA from 1 species
UACAGAGGGUGCGAGCGUUGUUCGGAAUUAUUGGGCGUAAAGGGCGCGUAGGCGGUGCGGUAAGUCACCUGUGAAAUCUCCUGGCUCAACUGGGAGCUUGCAGGCGAAACUGCCGUGCUGGAGUGUGGGAGAGGUGCGUGGAAUUCCUGGUGUAGCGGUGAAAUGCGUAGAUAUCAGGAGGAACACCUGUGGCGAAGGCGGCUUGCCAGAACGCGCUCGACGGUGAGGGAUGAAAGCUGGGGGAGCAAACCGG